rnacentral:other from 1 species
UGUUUCCUGGGUUAUUCGAUAUACAAAAUAAACCUCGAGCCGAUAAUUAAAAUCAAGGGACUUGAUACCUUGCUUGUUGAGCGCCCCUAGGGCAGCCUGAUAGCGGGUGAUUUUCCCGCCCUGAACUUGACGGUUCAGGUCUAGUUUUGUUAACGGUAAUCUGGGAAACUU